CCUCCGCCGAGGCGCGGUCGCCCUGGCGGAUCGUGAUCGCCGCGAGGGAUCCGGCGAUCCGCGCGCGGAGGUUGGGAUCCUCGGUGCGGGUCC
rnacentral:tRNA from 1 species